rnacentral:rRNA from 1 species
AUGUCAGGGACCCAAGGUUGGGCAGACCUCCCAGAAGGCCUGUUGCACUGUAUCAUCGCUCGGAUGGGCCUGGGCUCUGCCCCGGAUCUUCUUGCAUUUGCUGCCACGUGCCGCUCUUGGGGUACUGCUUUUGCCGGCUCCAUAGCAACAUUCCCACCUCUCCUUCUCCAACCUGAUGGCUCUUCUUCCCCUCUUAAUGCUAGCCCCUUUAGCAACAACCUGGUGCCCAAUCGUCCAUAUCUUGUCACAGAUAUAGCCAAAGUCAACCAAGGUGCCAUCCUUUGCUCUGAAAUUCCUCUACGUCUAGAAUGGUUUUCCUUCAUGGGGGCUUCAUUUGGCCAUCUCAUUUUGUACAACAAAAAAUCUUGUAUCGUUGUUGAUGUGUCUAGAGGUGUUAGCGUCUCACCUCCACAACUACCACUCGUUGAAUGUGCUGAGCCCAACUAUGGUGCCCUACUGCUCCUCUCACAUCACCCAACUCUCAUCUCAUUAUCGAGGCUGGACCACAUAAUCUGUUUCGGCGUGUUGGUACCGAUUCAUGGGUGA